AUCCUAUUGUCAUACAUAUGCGUGAUGACUGGGUGUUCACAUGCAUGUGUGAAAUGUGCCAACCUUGAAUCUUGUUAUAUAACAUGCGCACAUUACCCAUCUGACA
ensembl:snoRNA